rnacentral:rRNA from 2 species
GGAUGCGAUCAUACCAGCACUAAAGCACCGGAUCCCAUCAGAACUCCGAAGUUAAGCGUGCUUGGGCGAGAGUAGUACUAGGAUGGGUGACCUCCUGUGAAGUCCUCGUGUUGCAUUCC